AAUAUUGCACAAUGGGGGAAACCCUGAUGCAGCAACGCCGCGUGAGUGAUGAAGGCCUUCGGGUUGUAAAGCUCUGUCUUUUGGGACGAUAAUGACGGUACCAAAGGAGGAAGCCACGGCUAACUACGUGCCAGCAGCCGCGGUAAUACGUAGGUGGCAAGCGUUGUCCGGAUUUAUUGGGCGUAAAGGAUGCGUAGGUGGAUAUUUAAGUGAGAUGUGAAAUACCCGGGCUCAACUUGGGUACUGCAUUUCAAACUGGAUGUCUAGAGUGCAGGAGAGGUAAGUGGAAUUCCUAGUGUAGCAGUGAAAUGCGUAGAGAUUAGGAGGAACACCAGUGGCGAAGGCGACUUACUGGACUGUAACUGACACUGAGGCAUGAAAGCGUGGGGAGCAAAC
rnacentral:rRNA from 1 species